rnacentral:rRNA from 1 species
UACGUAGGGGGCAAGCGUUGUCCGGAUUUAUUGGGCGUAAAGAGCGUGUAGGCGGCCAGGUAGGUCCGCUGUGAAAACUCGAGGCUCAACCUCGAGAUGUCGGCGGAAACCAUCUGGCUAGAGUCCGGAAGAGGAGAGUGGAAUUCCUGGUGUAGCGGUGAAAUGCGCAGAUAUCAGGAAGAACACCCGUGGCGAAGGCGGCUCUCUGGGACGGUACUGACGCUGAGGUGCGAAAGCGUGGGGAGCGAACAGG